rnacentral:rRNA from 1 species
GACGAACGCUGGCGGCGUGCUUAACACAUGCAAGUCGAACGGAAAGGCCCUGCUUUUGUGGGGUGCUCGAGUGGCGAGCGGGUGAGUAACACGUGAGUAACCUGCCCUUGACUUUGGGAUAACUUCAGGAAACUGGGGCUAAUACCGGAUAGGAGCUCCUGCUGCAUGGUGGGGGUUGGAAAGUUUCGGCGGUUGGGGAUGGACUCGCGGCUUAUCAGCUUGUUGGUGGGGUAGUGGCUUACCAAGGCUUUGACGGGUAGCCGGCCUGAGAGGGUGACCGGCCACAUUGGGACUGAGAUACGGCCCAGACUCCUACGGGAGGCAGCAGUGGGGAAUAUUGCACAAUGGGCGGAAGCCUGAUGCAGCAACGCCGCGUGCGGGAUGACGGCCUUCGGGUUGUAAACCGCUUUCGCCUGUGACGAAGCGUGAGUGACGGUAAUGGGUAAAGAAGCACCGGCUAACUACGUGCCAGCAGCCGCGGUGAUACGUAGGGUGCGAGCGUUGUCCGGAUUUAUUGGGCGUAAAGGGCUCGUAGGUGGUUGAUCGCGUCGGAAGUGUAAUCUUGGGGCUUAACCCUGAGCGUGCUUUCGAUACGGGUUGACUUGAGGAAGGUAGGGGAGAAUGGAAUUCCUGGUGGAGCGGUGGAAUGCGCAGAUAUCAGGAGGAACACCAGUGGCGAAGGCGGUUCUCUGGGCCUUUCCUGACGCUGAGGAGCGAAAGCGUGGGGAGCGAACAGGCUUAGAUACCCUGGUAGUCCACGCUGUAAACGGUGGGUACUAGGUGUGGGGUCCAUUCCACGUGUUCCGUGCCGUAGCUAACGCUUUAAGUACCCCGCCUGGGGAGUACGGCCGCAAGGCUAAAACUCAAAGGAAUUGACGGGGCCCCGCACAAGCGGCGGAGCAUGCGGAUUAAUUCGAUGCAACGCGUAGAACCUUACCUGGGUUUGACAUGGAUCGGGAGUGCUCAGAGAUGGGUGUGCCUCUUUUGGGGUCGGUUCACAGGUGGUGCGUGGCUGUCGUCAGCUCGUGUCGUGAGAUGUUGGGUUAAGUCCCGCAACGAGCGCAACCCUUGUUCACUGUUGCCAGCACGUUAUGGUGGGGACUCAGUGGAGACCGCCGGGGUCAACUCGGAGGAAGGUGGGGAUGACGUCAAGUCAUCAUGCCCCUUAUGUCCAGGGCUUCACGCAUGCUACAAUGGCUGGUACAGAGAGUGGCGAGCCUGUGAGGGUGAGCGAAUCUCGGAAAGCCGGUCUCAGUUCGGAUUGGGGUCUGCAACUCGACCUCAUGAAGUCGGAGUCGCUAGUAAUCGCAGAUCAGCAACGCUGCGGUGAAUACGUUCCCGGG